UUGGAGGUACCAUAACAAUGUUUUGUUGUGGUCGUAACGACUUCUUAUCCGAGGUUGAACUGACAAUUUAUGUAAAAAUUGUGCAGGAAGGUGAACAGAUCUUACCAUCAAAAUUGAGGUUUAAAACACUUAAAAUGUAACAUGUUUGUGUUGACUGCAAAGGAAGUGAGGAAUAAUGUCAUGUGGAACACCAUAAUUUUGGGGUAUUCGAGAAAUGGUGAUAUGUAUAAAGCAUGUGAUGAAUACAGGAAGAAAGGAAAAAGGAAAGGCUAAAGCAAAGUUGGUCCAUCCAAUUAUGGAGCAGAUACAAAAUCGGAGGCAUUGGAGAUCGAAUUCAAUAUAAACAUUGUGAUUUUGGUGAUUUGAGACAUAUCUGUCGGUUGCGAUUCUGGCCUUUAACUAAAGUGCUCACCGAGAAGUAUGAUUUUAAUGAGAAAGAUGCAAGUGACAUGAGUGACUUUUUAGUUUCUAUCCCUGACUUUUUGGUGUUGGUGGAUCAUUAGAACAUAUGGUUGUUGGACUGGCCAGUUCACUUGGAAAAGGAGCAUAUCCAAAUGGCUCCACAGGGGCAAAUUGGAUAUCUAAAUAGUGGUCUUCCACAAGACAGAGCAGCACCUUGGUUUGAUAGGCUUGUGUUUGACAAGAUCGGGAGUUCGGAUUUGGAAUGACCGGUUGAUUCUCUGCAAUCCACCUUGAUUAUGGUUAAUGUGUUUGUUUUAAUUGAAUUAGUUUUGGCUGAGACAGGGCAAUAAAAAGGUAUGACUAUUUCCAUUCCAAUGGAGAAAAAGAUCCAUGUCAUAUUUCAAGCAAUCAUAAAAUAUGGUGGUUCUCAAUUGUUGCAGCAAUCAUGUCUUUCACAUAUAC